UUUCAGUGGCAUUUAAAUCCCCGGCGCUCCUCAGUGUAGGUGACGCGCGCUCGCCCCCCCAGGCAGCCCGGGCCGCGGCGGUAGCUACGGCCGCUGCCGGAGCUGACUUGGAGCACUGGGACUAAAGGGAACCGAGACUGACUUCUGCGCGCGCCCGGCUCUGCGCGCCUCCGCCUCCAGAAGUGGGGGGGAUGGGAGGCACCCUCCGCGGCCCCUUCCCCACCCAGCCGAGAGAACUGAACUGGCAAGAGGUCUGUUUUUCCUGAACCCAUCCACAGCUGGGAGAUUAAUCAACCACACUGAAAAUGGGGGGAGGGGAAGGAAGAGUUGGACUGUAGAUGUUUGAAACAAACAUAUGUAUAAAUAAAUGAAUUUUUGAUAACUGGUAGCUUGGUAAGGGAAUGCCACUUUACGCAUCCUAGAGUUCGAAGUUUCUGUAGGCACUUUACUUCUCCACUUUCAAAAGCUUGGGCGAGGGCCAAUUCAGGCUGCCCAAGCCUCUUUCUAUCACUAAUUUAACUCUAUGGCUUGAGUCUCAACACUGAAAACCAAUCCAUUCCCUUAGGGGGAUUAAAAAAGCAAAAAAAAAAAAA